CUUAGAUAUGCCGUUCGAGAACAAAAACCAUAUUAUUUUGCUGGCAAGAAAUUAUCCAACUGUUAUCUUGACGCCGUUUUUUCGACCCCACUGUGUUAUUACGAUUAAAUUGCUUGAUCAAAAUGUUCUACUUCGUAAUGGGGUAAACUGGAAACAUGCUGGAACUACCUAUAAAUAAUUGGAAAAAUGAUUGUAAAAAGUAACAAAAAACAUUCCCAAGUUUAUAACUCCAAGCAUUUACAGGGUGAAUUGCAAGCGUCGUCUCUCCGACUAGACGAAUCUUAACAAUCCCCCCCGUAAACGAAGGUACCUAGGAAUGCGGAAUUUCGUGGUAGAACUUGACCGGCGCCUCGGCAUCAAGACUACCUUGACAGACAUCGUACGCCUGCAGACAAUUCUCUAACAACAACUCAAGAGGGCUAAAUUAUGGGCUGGCCAGUUCCCAUAACGUCGCAUUCCUCAAGCGCCAGAAAGUUAGGAUUAGAGUCUACAUCGCACGCCGCGUCUGCGAAUCCCAAAUAAAAUUCUUUUGUUUUUUAUAUAAGUACUUAUUUUAUGUCGGAAGCGACCGGUGAGAUAUUAAGGCAAUGACGUAUACCAAAGGUGUAUUACUGGUUGCCAAUUAGUUAUAAAUUUUAAAUUUAGUAUCUGUUUUUCUUAAAAAUACUUAUGAAAAUAUCAAAGAAUUUAAAGAAAAUUAUUUCGCAACAAUAUCAUAUAACUUUCUGUAUGAAAAUUAGUUAUAAAAUCAAGUUUAAUGGGUAUUUUUAUGAUUAUUAAAAAUAACGGCCAAUGGCAUUAUUUUGAGAGUUCGAUUUUAAAUGGAAUGUGUUCAAAGAAAAGUGAAAAAUACUUUGAAUUCGUUAUAUUUUCCUAAUAAAUUUGUCUCUCAAGUGUUUUAAACUCACCCAGAAUAAAAAUGUACACAGCGCAAGGCACUGAAAGUGGAAUUAGUGAUUUGAAACAUGGUGAUAUUGACCGUUUACGAACACACUGUUAUAUUCAAGAAUUGAGACCAUAUUCAUAGUUUUUUUAGAAACUAUAAUAAAUAAGCCUAUCAGGUCGAUGCUUCUACACAUCUAAUCAAAUCAAUACAAAAAGGUACAAAAAAAAUUAAGGAGUCUUCUAUUCAACCAAACACCAAAUGCCAAGAAUAUUAUUUCAUCAGCAGAAGGGAAGAAAGUAAAUUUUAGCAACAAUGGGACUUAAUAGCGGCCAAAAGCAGACCUGUAUCGACUAAAUAUAUGCUGGGGACCUGCUUAGCGUUCCCAAGGAAGUGACCACUCUAGGAACUGGAUGAUUCUUAACCUUGGCCCUGGUUUUAAGUAAUUGCAUAUUUUUAAUUCUUGCUGGAUUAAUUUAGUAAGUUAAUUAGUAAGUUUUUUAUAAUUGUAUAUAUUGAUAAAUUAGAUGGCUACUCUUGUAUAUUAAAAAAAUCUUGUAAUCUAAUGUAUAUUAGGUA